CAGUACGCUGAUUGCCACUUGAGAGCAUCCGCCAGGAUCCCCGGCAGCAGGCACUCGGAGGAAACGCUGCGUGGGCACUUGUUUAAGGAGUACCUGACUAAACAAUUGGGUUAUUCUUUAACUGCAGGAGAAGUGCCUGUAUUCCCUUCACGCAAGCUCCCUACUGGCUUUCUGCAUUCUUAAUUUAUCGGAGCCCUUCCUCCCUCCGUCUCCCUCCCGAGACUUCUUUUCCUUUCCUUCCUUUUAUUCUAGUUAUUUAUUUUGAGCGUUUUCACCCCCCAAAUCUCUGCUGCAUCACCAGCUCUCAUUAUGCUGUGCUCGGUAGCCCGGUGUGCUCCCCGCCUCUGCUAGGCAGUGGCAGCAUGGAUGGUGCUCUUGUGACGACCUCUGCUGAUGCUAUCAGUCCACUGCGGAUAGGCAUGCUGAGUAAUCCUGCUGUAAAUGGGCGAGGACACGGACACACGAAAAAUUAACCACAGCUUUCUUCGAGACCACAACUAUGUGACUGAAGCUGAUAUUAUUUCUACAGUUGAGUUCAACCACACUGGAGAACUGCUGGCUACUGGUGACAAGGGGGGUCGGGUUGUUAUAUUCCAAAGGGAACCUGAGAGUAAAAAUGAGCCUUACAGUCAGGGGGAGUACAAUGUUUACAGCACUUUCCAGAGCCAUGAACCUGAAUUUGAUUAUUUGAAGAGCUUGGAGAUAGAAGAAAAAAUAAACAAGAUCAAGUGGUUACCACAGCAAAAUGCAGCUCACUCGCUUUUAUCAACAAAUGAUAAAACAAUCAAGUUAUGGAAAAUUACUGAAAGAGAUAAGAGGCCAGAGGGGUACAACUUAAAGGAUGAAGAAGGAAAGCUUAAAGAUCUUUCUACAGUAACAUCACUACAGGUGCCUGUGUUGAAACCCAUGGAUUUGAUGGUAGAAGUCACUCCCCGGAGAAUCUUUGCUAAUGGUCACACCUAUCAUGUCAACUCAAUAUCUGUCAACAGUGACUGUGAGACGUACAUGUCAGCGGAUGAUCUCAGGAUUAAUCUCUGGCAUUUAGCAAUCACAGAUAGAAGCUUCAACAUUGUAGAUAUAAAGCCGGCCAAUAUGGAGGACCUGACGGAAGUGAUUACAGCCUCUGAGUUUCAUCCCCAUCACUGCAAUCUCUUUGUCUACAGCAGCAGUAAAGGCUCCCUGAGACUCUGUGACAUGAGAGCAUCGGCCCUCUGUGACAAACAUUCCAAGCUUUAUGAAGAACCAGAAGACCCCAGUAAUAGAUCAUUUUUUUCAGAAAUUAUCUCUUCAGUGUCAGAUGUCAAAUUCAGUCACAGCGGUAGAUACAUGCUAACAAGAGAUUACCUCACUGUCAAGGUUUGGGAUCUGAACAUGGAAACAAAGCCUGUAGAAACGUACCAGGUCCACGAUUACCUUAGGAGCAAGUUGUGUUCCCUCUAUGAAAAUGACUGCAUCUUUGACAAGUUUGAAUGUGCAUGGAAUGGAUCAGACAGUGUCAUCAUGACAGGUGCAUACAACAACUUCUUUCGAAUGUUUGACCGGAACACCAAGCGGGAUGUUACCUUGGAGGCAUCCCGGGAGAGCAGCAAGCCCCGCGCUAUUCUCAAGCCCCGGAGAGUCUGCGUCGGUGGCAAGCGGAGGAAAGAUGACAUCAGUGUUGACAGUUUGGACUUUACUAAGAAGAUCUUGCACACAGCGUGGCACCCGACCGAGAACAUCAUUGCUAUAGCAGCGACAAACAAUCUCUACAUAUUUCAGGAUAAAGUGAACUCAGAAAUGCACUAGGUUUAUCAAUAUCCCUCUGUAUCUACAAACCAGCCUCUCGAGAGUUGUAAAAGGAUGUGAUCUUCACAAAAAUUAGGGCUUCUGUGGUGGGAUUUGUAGGUUGCAUCCUUUCAUCCCUCAGCCUGUAUCAUUACUGGUGGCAAGCCAACUAUUCUCAUCACUGCAACUGUAUGAGUAAAAGGCACGACUGCAAAUCCAGCCCCGUGGUCUGUGUCAGUUCCUUUAAUCCAACAGGGGCACUUACACAUCUGGGGAGUGUUCUGAGGAGGGCUGGGACUCCUCUGCUGCUGUCAGUGCUUUGAGGGUCUCAGUGGUUCACAGGACCACAUCGUUCUGGUGCACUGCCUGCUUCCGCGGCCCACAGAUACCACACUGUUAGAGCUUUUGCUUUAAUCUCUUGAUUAUUUAUUUUUUCCACUAACAUUUUUCUGUCUUUCAACUAAGCCGAGCCUGUUUGUGCGUGAACGAAUGAGUAGCCGCAUCCCUUUGGACCACGUGGCACAUUGGGAAGGCCUCCCAAAUUCCUGCUGGUGAGAAGCUGCCCUGUGUCACCUGUCCCAUUCCCUUCUUUACUCUCUUCCAUUAUUUAUUCCCAUGACUAACUUUGUGCUUCGACUUCCUGACUGAACAAGCAGCAGGCUGCUGGAGUCACUCUGCCAACUUGUUUUAGGAAGUUCAUUCUCCCUCAGUCUCUUUGCUCUGUUUAAUAAUUAGCAGCUUUCCCCCAAACUUGGCAUAACCACUGCACGGGGACUGGCUGCUCAAACACAGCCUAGCGGAGUUAAUCCAUAAACCUACACUGUAUCCUGGGGGUGGGAAUUCUGGAAGCCUUGGCUAACAAUGCUGUCCUUGGAGGCAAAUACUGACUUCAGUGGAAGCAAAGUCACAGCUCUGCUGGACACUUCAGGAAAUUCCGCAUUUGCUCAGUGCAGCACGGUUAUUUUUGUCCUGGCAUAUGGGGAAUGCAGACAAUGCCAUAAUAGCUGUAGCUAUCAAAAGGAUGGCACUGUAAGAGGUGACAUUGCUCAGUGAACUGUGAGGUGUUUCAGUGAGUCCACUGCUGGGUGACGUGGGUAUUCCUGGAGAAAGAGGAAAACACAAGCUCCAGACCAAACCUUCUUCCACAUUACUGUGAGAUCUAUAGCUCUAACAGAUCUGUCUUUGCUUUCAAAUGAACGGGAUGUAAAUGGCAAAUGAAAGGACGUGGAAUUAUGUGCUCCAUUUUGGAAGCCUGUGGGAACAGUGUAGCGGUAGGAAGUCCUCCUCACGCACACAACAGUUCUGUCUGCCUCCCUAACAGCUCUAGAAGAAAAACUGAUAGCCCAAAGGAUUUCUUGGCAGAUCACACACACACAAGUGCACAACUGAGAUGAUUGUGUUAAUGUGCCCAUAUUAAGACUCCUCAGAAAAACAAACAAACAAAACCCCACUUCUUUAAGCCAUCAUGCACUGAUUUCUUUGGUAAGCGGAGAUAAAGGGAUCUGCAUUCUUUUCUAUUUCAGUUUGGAGGAAAGGAUGGGUGAAAAGCUACUUAAAAGACCUGAAAAACAAAGUCCACAGCUCUUUUAUAAGACAUCUUAACACGCCAAACCUGUCUGUUUGAAGUUUUCUACAUCAGUGCUGUAUAUUUUGUGUGUAGAAGCACAAACGCACGUGCAUUGGUUUCCAGCCAUACUAAACACAUACAGUAUGAAACGCAUAGGUUAAUUUUAAAGGGAAUGAGGAAUGUUUGUUUAUAAAAUACUGUAUGCUCUAGCAGGCAUGGGCAGUAUAUGUACAUAUUUAUUCUAAUGAGAUUUAACAAAAUUGCUUUUUUUUUUUUCUUCUUUUCCUCCUUGUAAAAAGGUUUAAGAAUGUGGUAAGUUGUAUAGAAAAGUUGCUAAUGCCAAACUGCUGCUUCAAGGGUGUCAUUCAAUUUCUUUGACUUUUGGCCUCCUCAUUAACCUUCGCAGCUCAAAAAAAAAUUGCUAUGAGCUCAUAUGGGCAUUUACAGGUAGAAGUACUGUAAAACAUAUAUUUAGCCUUUAACUUGCUCAAGUAAGAGAUUAUAGAUAACUUAUUAUAAAGCAGCUCUUAAUACAACUUUUUUUUUUCUUUUUCUUUUUUAAUUUGAAGUACCUUACUCUGUUAUAGCUCUGGGUACCAAAAAGAUCGUGUUAAAAUUAAAUAACUAACUAUAUCUUUGGAGCUUUAUAAACCUAAUGAAACACCCAACCAAAAGAACACAAAGUGAUUACAGAGGACGUAAACAGAAAUCUCUCCAAGACCAGUAUUGAUUCACAUCUUUGACUUUGCUACUACAGUUGUUUCCUGGUCUUCUUGAAUGUACGGAAAGCUAACAUCGUCAUUGUGAACGUUUCCAACUUUCUUUCUCUUUUUAGUUUGAGCUUUCAGUGGUGUAGAGUAAAUGAUGGUAAAGUUGGUAAAUCUGAUUGUUUUGAAAGCUGUUGUUCAUGGCUGCAUUCUUUGUGUUGCACAAAUUAGCUAACUGUUGUUGAAUAAAAAUAUAAAUAUGUUAAUACCAGCUUUUUCAAUAAAAUACAACGAAAAAAGGCACAAGUAGAUGACUUCAAGGCACAGCUUCUUUGUAAGCUAGAUCUGAGAGACUUGUUAGAUUCCUUUUACAAAGCAGGGAGAGUCACAGGGAUCAAGGCAAAUGACUGCAUUGUGUUGGGGCAAGUGGGGAUGCAAAGGUAGAGAGUGAUUUAUUGGCUUAGCACGAUGACCAGUGCAUGCACAGACAGUGCAGCUGGAGAUGCACUUUUGCUUCCCACCUUGGACUGUAGCCCAAGUUAAAUAAUGUUAUGCCUUUAAGAGACGCGAGUCUCAGUCUCCUAUAGAUGGAAUAAGAGAUGCAGAAUGUGAGGGAACGCACAUAAUCACGGGGUGAAAUGGCAGCCAUGUAACCAGCGGCCAGGUUGGGCACCUCCCAUUUCCACUGACCACAGGGGCGGGCGGCUGCUGUGCGUACAGGCCCAGCCUCCUACGUAUUGCAGAGGCUGUCAGCAGAGGAGCAGCCUCCCUCCUCUUCACCCCUUUCCUUCUAGCCUCUGCCCUAGGGUGAUAGAGAACAAGCAACAAAACGCAAACAAGCUGCUUUGGCACACAAACUUAAGGUGAAGAAGGGCUUCACUUCUUAGUUUCAGCUGCUGCCUGAGUUUCCCCUGGUCCCCAUGAGGCUUGCCCCGACCUUGGGCUUUUCUUCUGACUCUCAGCCAGCCAACCCUGCCUGCACGUUCCACAUGGAGCCAGUGGCUUGGGAUGCCUCCUGGACCUCAGCACACAUGUAUUAUACCCCGAGAGGCUGAGUCAGCCCCUUUGCUGGAUGCAGACCAGAAUGCAUUGGCCUCUGCUGUUAGAUGAGGCAAUAUAAUGCUUGCACAGCUCUCCCAGAGCUUACAUGCUAAUUCCACCCUCCCCCCCUUGCUUCUUGUGAAGACCCAGUCAAUCCCCCUCAUUUAGGUGGACAAAUAUGACUAGGUACUGAAGAGAGGAAUCUCAGCUGAAAACCAACACAUCAAGCAAGUCACUAUUUACCUUUCUAGUUUCCUUUUUUAUCCCUAAAUGCCUAGCACAAGCAGAAUCCAGAUGGUCAACUUGUCUGCUCUUGAAAUAUUCACAAAAGCCUAUUUAGUAGCAGCAUACAGCAAUUUAACUCUUUGUGGAAUGGGGAUGGGGGAACACUGAUAUGAUCUGCUUGGUUCUCCCGUUUGUAGCCAGCAGGUCACCCUGCUUUGAGGCAGAGUUGUAUCCUUUGCACCCUUCCAAGGUUGCGAUAAGUAAUCAUUGGCAAGGGGGCAAGUAUAAGGAUUGUUUUCACUAACAUUAUUACCAUCAAUUUGCUCUCACUCCCAAUGGUAAACCUUUUCCGUUUGCUGUCUUCUCAGUAAGUUGCAUUAAGUCUAAAAUUAGAGCUGGAAUUCACUUAUCUUUCCCAUGUGGUAGAACCUCAAAAGGCAAUAGGAUUACUGGAGGGGAUAAAGAAUUGGACCUAAUUUUGUAAGAUGCUUGGAACAGGGCAUGGUUCUUUGGUUUUGUGAAGUCAUGAAACAGAAUGGAUGUUCUAAGUACAUGGCAGUUUGACAUGCAUCCUGGAAGGCGUUGCUUUGGGAGUGAAAGCUUUCAAUAGCAGCGAUUUUCUUGUUUUAAUUCUCUCUGAAAUUGGACUAGGAUCAAACUUUUACUCACAAAAAGCCUCGGACCACACAGCGUGGCCAGAAGCCACUAAAAGCACACCGGGUCCCACCCGCAGGCAGCAGGAGCAACUAUGGUCGGCGUGAUGGUGAGUGCCCAUCAUCUCCCCAUCUCCUCGGCUGUCACAGAGGAGCGACCCAUUGGCCAAUGCAACGUAUUUCAAGUGGAAGAUUUAAAGAAUCAGAGAGAUUGUAUCUUAGCAACCACCAGGGCAUGAAGAAAGCAGUUUAACUAUUUAAGUUUUUCAAUUAAAAGAUCCACCCCAAACAUGCACAGCCCACAGGGCCAUCGCAGUGCUGCGCUGGGAAGGACGAAGUGACCCUGAGCCAUGUCCCUUCCCAGCACAGACAAGCUGGGCGGUGGCAUAGCCCAUGCCUACAGCAACAGAUCUCCUGCAGGAGCUGAAGCAUGGGAAGGGCUUCUUUUUGCAGAGAAACCCUGAGGUUUUGUUACCUGGUCUCAUAGGAGCCAAAGCAAGACUUCCUGGUUUCCAAGAAUAGAAAGCUCCCACAAUAAAAACCCAGAGUGAAACAGGCACAGAUUGACCUUCAUGAGAUGACGUGAUGCAUCUUCUCCCUGCUUUGUGCAGCCUAGAGACCUUUCCCUCAGUUCUCAGUUUCCCUCCUCUACAAACUGUAGUUACUUCAUGCAGAAAGGUAGGUCUUGUUCCAUAGCUGUACUCCUUAGCCAGCCCUGGAAGCAAGUCAGAGAACACUGGACAUUGCAGGGCAGGCAUUUGCAGACUUCUGUGGGACUGAGAAAGGUGGCAACUCUCGUCCUUCCUACUCUUGCCUCACGGAUGCACUGUGUUGGAUAAACUUAAUGUAAUAAGGCAAAAUUAAAGCAAAAAAGAAAUACUGCCAGGACAGCUACCAGUCCCAAAGAGGACCAGUGCUGGAUGAGAACUGUGAUAUAAGGCACAGUACAUGCAUGACUCAAUGUAUUUAUUUGUGCUCUAAGCUGCAAGAAAGAUGGGCUGCCCUGGGCUAAAGAAACUCCAGGAUAUAGGAUUGAAAGAUUCGCAUGGAGACCCACUUUUUAAACAACCAUCAGUUGAACCGUUACUAGAAGCUGCAUUAGGAGAGAUUUAUGAAUCAUCCAUUUACAACUCCAGGAAAGCAUCUUCUGUAAAGAGAAGACUGAAAAAUUCGUUUAUUGCAAAACCAUUUGCUGGGAUCAUCAUCUGUCUCUAGUGCCAGUGGAUGCACACACAAGCAGUGCUCGGGCAGUCACUGGAUGUGGUGACUGUGACAAAUUUGGCCAAUUCCUUAAAUAUAUUUCUUGCCAGUAUGUGCUUCAAACAAUAUUUAGCACCAGAAUUGACUGAAAUUGCUUUUCACGGCACCAAGAAAUAAUCUGGAUUUUGACUGAGCAUUCUGAACUUAAAUUAUUAUUAGAUUAUUCAGACGGUGAUAUCCACUCUGACCUUGGGCUGGCAGUUUGAGCUUUGAUUCCACACAGAUUCUUGAUCAGAAUUCCAUCUGUUCAAGCAGACUUUCAGAGCAUCUAAGCCCUAUUAGAAUAACAUUUCCAUUACCUAAUUAAUUGUUUGAAGCUAUCCUCAGUGAUUACUUAUUGAAGUUAUAGUUUGUCACCUGAGGCAACAGCAUGUGUUGUUGUCGUGGAAACAUCUCUGCUGUCACCAGCUCUGAAUAGUGAGGGAGGAACAGCAGAGGGAACUGAAGAAGCAAGGCUUUGUUGAAAUGCCUCACUCUUGAAAGUGAAGAAAUAUUUCAGAUAAAGCCUGGCCACACAGAGGCCCAAACCUCUGCACACUGAUCUCUGGGAGAGGAGGGGUCAGCGGGUUCAGUUUGAGCCCUUUCUCCUGCAGCGUGACGCAGCUGCCCCGCACUGCCAUCUCCCAUGGCCAACAGCAACAUCUACAGGGCCCUUCCUGAUGCCAAAGCUGCUGUUGUUGCAGAAGGAUCCUGCUGUCCUCAGAAACAGAACUCUGUAACAACCCGCUAUCACCUCUCUGUUUCAUUUAGAAACUAUUAAAACUCACUUUUGGGAUUUGUUGUAUCAGCCUUUAGCUGGAGUGUGACCGUCACACAGCCCUUUGCUUUCCCCACAUCUGUGCAUUCAUUUCUAGGGUGUGCAUAACUAAAGCAAGAGCUGCAGCUAGGAUUCCCCUUAAAACAGCUCGUCUUCUACUAAGUUUUAAUUAAACACUGACACAGAUUCUCUCACCUUGUUGUUCAGGUUUAUUAACAGAAAGUUAAUAGAAGGAUUUAAUCUAGAUAAGCCCUGAUAUUUUUGCAGCUAACACAUGGAAGUAGCAGAGAAUGCCAUUUCUACCAGAAUGGACAUUGGGACUGCACAUUGUGGCCACACAAAUUACAAGAGAAAACAAUGCAGAUUAACACCACCACAUUUGUGUUACAAAAACCUCCUCUACAAGCUGCUAAACUACAAGGAAGCCAGAGAGUGCCUCUCACAAGAUAGCCGUGCCCUGUUUCCUACACUCUUAGUUUAUCAUUACACAGUACGCUAUCACAUUAGUACGGUCUUAGAUUGUAGAAACCCUGUGUCAACAACUUUGCUAGUUAUUACUUGUAACUUGGGGGGUGGCUCGAAAUUGGGCCUAUACAUAGCUUUCUAUUUUUUUACGAAGUGUUUACUAAUCGCAUUUUCUCCCUGAAAUGGAGUAAAAGCAGAAUGCGAUUCUUUUGUUCACCGCCAGUGCCCUCUGGAGACAGCAGCUGAGGGACGGAAAAUGCAAAGUGAAACUGGAGUGCCACCUGAUGGCACCGCGUUAAAACCACACAGGUUAUGCGGUCGCAAGAGAAAGGGCAGGUGCCCCAUAAAAUACACGGAAAAGUACCAUCUUCUUGCAAAAAUUACCAAAGAUGUUAAGCAAACAAGCACACAAAGGCCCCAGAUACAAAAAGAUCCCAACCUAAUGCUGAAAUGCAAGAAGUAGGUGAUUUACCUCAUUGCAAAGGUUGAAAGUUCCACCUCCCCGCUGCAUGAUGCUGUAGGAGACCAGAUUUUAAGAUGACAGCAUUCUGAACACCAUAUGCCCACACAACUAAUUAUGUGCAAAUCUGCUUCAAGUUAUACUUCAUAGGCAAUGAACGUUUCAGUUCUUGUCCUGGCCGCGUCUAGUGGGUUUUGCAAUAUGACCUCGGAAGAGAUACGCCUAAAAGCCGGCAAUAAAACAUCAUGUUACUGUGAUCACCACGUCAAGCAGUAACUUCCAAAGAGCAACCCACUGCACCAUUCCCUCUGCUUUUAUACUGAAUUUCUCCUGUUGCCAAGUGUUUCUUUACCUGUUUUCCAGCCACAGUCUCCCAGCAGCAAUCCCAGCCACACAGUGCCAUCAAUAAAAGUUGUACCAGCUCUAAGCAGAACUCCCAUCCACGUCAGAGCCAGGAGAACAGGGACAUCAACACACCAAAACACUGGAGCAGGCAUUUCUGCACAUAUCCUGGUCUUAUUUUCUUUACUACUCACAGGUGGGAAAGCUGAGAACUAAUUGUGCUCAGCCUCACUCGUUAUAUCUAUCUUCCUACACUAAACUUUGGGAAAAGCCCUUUCAUUUUUUCUUUGUAACGGGUUCAGCAGAAGGGGGGAAGGUUGCAGCAGACUAUGAGUGUUCUUGGGGAGACUAUUCAGGCAGACCCAUUGCAAUGGGGUGGAUUUCUUCUGCAUGAAGCUAACUGAACCAUCUCCAAACAGGUCAUACCAUCAGUCUCCAGGCCUACACCUAUCAGCCCAGAUCAGGCUGCAUAUGUCUGGGCUGCAGAGUCAGCCUUAAAUUACUAGUGUUUCACUGCUUCUGUAUGUGUGUGUUUGAACAUAGGGGCCCUCUGUCUGCAGCCAACUGUGGGAAAACUCUCUUGUUCUUCUGAAGGAGUAGUGAGAACACACUGGAAAACAGAGUUUUGCUGCUUUGUUUUCUGUCUUGAAAAGGAGGAAUUCAUGUUCCAACGCAGAGGCCAUCUGGGCAACAACAAAGAGGGGGACUGAGGCUAAGAAAGUCUACCUGACAAAAGAGGUAGGGGAUGGACUACCAGCAUCUACUCCUGAGGAUACAAGGCUUUGUCAGGGAAGCUCCAGGGGUGUGUUUUAUAAGAUGUAGGCAAACUAAAGUGUCAAAUGGCUCUGUUGCAAAAACUAUGCAUGGACUGACUAUACCUAUAAACAUGCUCCACCUUAUUCAUGUGCUCAGCUUGCACCUGUUUCUUGACUGAAGUGCUGAAUACCAAUAAGCUCCUACUGUUUUGUUUAUAUUUUGUCUUGGGAAGUGUGAUAACACAUGCUUUUUCAGUAGAAGAGCAAAGAAAUUGCUGGCCUCGUUAUCAGUUUCAGCCCUUCAGAGAAGAGAUUCCAAGAAACUUCUUACUCAAAUAAGAAUGUGCGCUAAAUCACUACUGCACAAACCAUAGGAAAUCAUGUCAGACAAAAAUGCUGAGAAGGGUGUGGUGAUGCUGCAGUCUUACCAAAGCUGCCAGGGGGAAGAUCUGUACUGCAUCCUUCCCUCUGAACCAAUGUAAAAUAUUUUGUAAAGGAAGGUUCUGUAUUCAUGUCUGCCUUCAGAACCUGUGGUUCAAGUUGACUGGAGAUGAUGAAAAUGCAAGUUUUCUCAGUGCAGAACAUCCUUCCUUUCUGGGAGGAUGAAUCCCAUUUUUUGUACAUCAUGUUAUAACUUACAUGAGGAAGAAGCAGGAUGCUUAUGACCUUUUAUUUUUUCAGGACAAAAGCUAAUUAAAGCUUUUGAGUAAUAGAAGGCAAGUGAAGGAACCAUCUUAAAACAUAUAAAAAAAACCCACAUAAUUUGAUUGUUUGGUUCUAGCCAUUCUUAUUAGCAUUUUAGUAAACUGUGCAGGUAUGUAGGAGUAGUUAGAGCAGUCAUAAUACCUAUUUACAAGUCGGCAUCUUGCAGAUGUUAAGAGUGUACUCACAGUCCUGAAAUCUAUUCUGCCUUUUUUUAGGGAAAGUAGAGAACGGAUGAAAAGAGACGGAUGAACACGGGUGCGCUCUGGAAGGUGGUCUUUUAUGUCAAAGGCUCAGGCACAACCGUGUAAAGCAGUGCUGUGCUUCCCUUUCGUUAACAUUCUUAUCAUCAUGUAUUUCUAAAAAUUGCAAGCCAAUUUUUAAUUAAUUAAUAGCAAUUGUAUGGCACUUGAGAAGAUCAAGUUUGUUUGAGGAAAUAAAAAACAUUUUGUUCUGACAGAUGUACUGCUUUCCUUCUCCAGAAGCAUCGGGCAAAAUGCAAAGUAUAAACUCCUUGCAUUCCUUCCAAUAGCAAGAGUCUGUUAGUCAUUACAGAGCAGGCUUUUAAAUUAUUCAGAAUUUCUAUACGUGCUGAAUUGUUUUUCCUGUGCUUAUGGAAGAAUGUACCAGUUUGAGAACAAGAGGUACUUUUCCAUGUUACUUACAGGAUAGAAUUCAAAUAAUGAAUAUUUACUUUUCUCUAAAUUCUAUAUAUUUUAAAUACUAUACUGAGCUUACAGAAGAACCCAAUUUAGAUGUGUCAAUAGCCAUGUAAUAUCCUCCUCCUCAUCAUCAGUUAAUUAAUAAUAAUCCAAAAGAUUGAAUUAUUAGCCUAGAGAAAGGACACCUAUCUUUGGAACGGUUUGUAAUUCAUCAUGUCUUCAAAACUAAGAAAGAAAAUAAUAAAUGUAGAAUUAAUUGAAUAAUUAACAGCAGCUGCCACAUUAUCAUAGAAUCGUAAAAUCACCGAGGUUGGAAAAGACCUCCAAGAUCACCCAGUCCAACCAUCUGCCUAUCACCAACAGUUCUCACUAAACCAUGUCCCUCAACACAACGUCUAAACAUUCUUGAACACCUCCAGAGUCAGUGACGCCGGCAAAUCCCUGGGCAGCCCAUUCCAGCACCUGACCACUCUUUUGGAGAAGAAAUAUCUGCUAAAAAAGUUUCAGAACACUAUUACUAGACAGAUAAGAAAAUGGAGUACUUACACAUCAUGUUACUGUUACACUAUCUUAAAUUCCCAUUAAAAAAAUAGAAGUACUAUGGAACACUUGAGAACUGGACAACAAAGGACAGUAUUAAAAGGUUCUGAAGUCAAAUGUACCUCCCCUUUCCCUUUCAGACACACAGAAGAGCCACAAAAAUUAUGUAUGGAAAAUGACCUAUGUGCUACCGUUCAGAUCUAUCCCUCUCUGCUGGAAAGGACCACCUGACAAAAUCAAACUGUCCCCAUCAAGCAGGGUUGAGCCCCUCUGUGCUUUCCCUACAAUUCCUUUCAGACUCCGAGGUCUUGGCCUAGUCUCUUUUCAAAAGCAUCACAAGCUGGAAUUCUAUUUUGCUGUUAGUGAUACAUCACUUUUCCACCUGUUGUCCCUUCUGAUAGCACACUCAUGACAUUAGGCCAAAGACAGAAUUAUUCCACUCACAGCGCUUGUCAGCCCAUACCUCUACUUUUAGGAAAUAGCAAUUUCUUCAGUACUAUUCACAGAAAAUAUCAAAUCAAGAAUUUAACCUUCUGGACCUGCGUUCAGCUUCGUUAACAUAAAGCUGUACUUGUUAGUGCACCUCCACAUUUUCUGCAAAUACAAGGAGGGAGGAAACUCCACACAGUUUGCUUCAUGACAAAAACCCAAGUUCUCCUUUAAGAAGCUCUCACCUCUGUAUUAAAUAAGGCAGUGUUUUAUUAUAAGGAAAAAGUGACUAUAGGAGCAAAGAUUAGCAAAAAUACUUUUAUGCCAUUCCUACCAUAUUGUCAUCUUGUGCCAGAGGUUCUCUGCUGCUACAGUGAGUUGGUCAAGACUGUUUUCUUACCUCCCUAAGGUCUGGAAGCUGACAUAGGCACUAAGCACUACGGGGGCAGUUCCCAGCUCCCUGAUGUCACUGGGAUUCACAUUCCUACUGAGCAGUUCAUCCUGGGCUAAAGUGCAAAGACAGCCAAAGAUUAGAGCAGUUGCAUGCAGAUAGCAGUUUUAGACAGUUUUGCUCACCUAACUUGUCACUACUUAACAGGUGAACUAUUUUUCCCUUGUAACAAUAAUACGCCCAUAUCUCCUAACAAUUUCCUAAGAAAAUGCUAACCUAGAAUUCUCAAAGUUGUUGGAGUUCAGCCUGUAAUAGUAUUGUUAUAGAUGGGAACUGAAUUACCUGGAGUAAGCCUUUUGUCUCAGUGACAGAGCGACCAUUUCCAAAGAAAUCAGCAAAGCCAUGUACCUCUUCUUGCAACACUUUCCACAUCUGACUUCAUCACAUUUUCCCAGGAUAUGUAACAACUUCUUCAAAACACACCAGUUAGCCAAUAAAUUGACAUCUUCUGCAGAGUAAAAGCUUAAAAAAAAAGAUGCUGCUUUUUUUUUCCCUCCUGACAAACAUAUGAAUAGAAGUUUCAAAAUUAUGCAUAUAUAAGGAAAUAGCAAAAAUGCAUCUUUAGAGCUUAACAUUUCAGAGCGAGGAAGACCAUUUAGUUAUUCAAAAAGAGCCUACUGAUAGUCUAGAAAAAAAAAAUAAGGAAAAGGCAAAGUUUUGCUUUUUCCAGCCGAAAGCCAAGAGGAGAUCAGGUAAACUAAUCUUUGCCAAAAUUUGCAUUUGCCUGCAACCUUAUACUAUUUCUUUUCUCCAAGGCUGACAGUUUUCAAAACUAAAAGCACCUUUAGGACACGAUUCUACUUCAACUACUCCAGUGUGACCAGGUCUGUAACACCAGGCUCAGCUAAGUGCCUGGGAUGCUGGUACCUUGCUUGCAGAUGUCUUUGGAUUCUUUCUAUUUGCAGCUUGAUCCUGGCAUUCAAGAGGGUGUCAAUGACUGGAGUGCAGCCAAAUGUCUCAUUUUUCUAGGUUUCUCCUUCUCUGUCAGUUUUCAGUGACUGUUUCCCUCAUGCUCUCCAAGCUUACGACAAGUAUAGAAAAGCAAAAAGGAUAUUAAUGUAGAAUUACUGAAAGAGAAGUCAGGGAAAUAGCACGUUGCAUGUGAUACAUAAUGUCACCCAAAGACUUAAAAGGUAGUAAGUCACAAUGAAAGCAAAACUUGCAGUAUAUCUAGAUUUUACAGUAACAAAAAUUUGGCCUGGUAUACUCCAGUUUUACUGCUAGCUUGAAAUAAUGUGAAGUACAACGUCAGG